rnacentral:SRP_RNA from 1 species
CGGUACCGAGGGUUCGAAUCCCUCUCUCUCCGCCAUAAAUUUUACUAAUCGCAGGCCGGUAUACGGCUUUUUGUUUUCUAGGCCGGGCUAUAGCAGUGCCGGGUCUUACGCAAUGAGAACUCAUGAACCGCGUCAGAUUCGGAAGGAAGCAGCGCUAAGUGAUCAUUCUUAUGUGCCGUAAGGGUGCCUGGUGUCUGCUAUGGUCCGUCGUAGAAAACAAAGCCGUAACUGUACCU